GCAGGUCGUUCUAUCGCUCACCAAAAUGAGAGGAAAGUCCGGACAACGCAGAGCAACAUACCACGUAAUACGUGGGCUGUGAUAGCAGUAUUGCAGACAGAGAGGGUCACAGAAAAUAACCGUCUCGUCAUUGACGAGAUAAGGGUGAAAAUGUGUGGUAAGAGCACACGAUGAUGAUCAGUAAUUUUCAUCAUGGAUAAACCUUAUGUGUUGAAAUGCCAUGUACACUUUGGUUCCUCGUAAGAGGUAUUGGGCUGCUCGUCCAAUUGCAUAUGCAUCCAGGGAGGGUAGGCAGCUAGAGUCAUACUGUGAAGUAUGACCCAGAUAAAUGAUAGAAACUUUUGAGCAAUCAAAAGCACAGAAUCCGGCUUACAGACCUGCUUUUUAU
rnacentral:RNase_P_RNA from 1 species